rnacentral:rRNA from 1 species
AACGAACGCUGGCGGCAGGCUUAACACAUGCAAGUCGAGCGCCCCGCAAGGGGAGCGGCAGACGGGUGAGUAACGCGUGGGAAUCUACCCAUCUCUACGGAAUAACGCAUGGAAACGUGUGCUAAUACCGUAUACGUCCUUCGGGAGAAAGAUUUAUCGGAGAUGGAUGAGCCCGCGUUGGAUUAGCUUGUUGGUGGGGUAAAGGCCUACCAAGGCGACGAUGCAUAGCUGGUCUGAGAGGAUGAUCAGCCACACUGGGACUGAGACACGGCCCAGACUCAUACGGGAGGCAGCAGUGGGGAAUAUUGGACAAUGGGCGCAAGCCUGAUCCAGCCAUGCCGCGUGAGUGAUGAAGGCCCUAGGGUUGUAAAGCUCUUUCACCGGUGAAGAUAAUGACGGUAACCGGAGAAGAAGCCCCGGCUAACUUCGUGCCAGCCGCCGCCGUAACAC